AUACGGAGGAUCCGAGCGUUAUCCGGAUUCAUUGGGUUUAAAGGGUGCGCAGGCGGCCGUGCAAGUCAGCGGUGAAAGCCCGGGGCUCAACCCCGGAAGUGCCGUUGAUACUGCGUGGCUGGAAUGCGGUCGAGGCGGGCGGAACGGGGCGUGUAGCGGGGAAAAGCGUAGAUAUGCCCCAGAACGCCGAUAGCGGAGGCAGCUCGCCAGGCCUGCAUUGACGCUCGGGCACGAAAGCGUGGGGAUCGAACAGGAUUAGAUACCCGGGUAGUCCACGCCGUAAACGAUGGGCGCUCGUCGUCGGCGGCAGACAGUCGGCGGCCAAGCGAAAGCGAUAAGCGCCCCACCUGGGGAGUACGGUCGCAAGGCUGAAACUCAAAUGAAUUGACGGGG
rnacentral:rRNA from 1 species